rnacentral:rRNA from 2 species
GGCUUAUUGAAAAUAAUUUUAAGUCUAGCCUGCCCACUGAGUUUUUAAAGGGCCGCGGUAUUUUGACCGUGCAAAGGUAGCAUAAUCAUUAGUUUUUUAAUUGAAAGCUGGAAUGAAUGGUUGAAUGAGAAAAAAUCUGUCUCUUUAAUAUUAAUUGAAUUUUAUUUUUAAGUAAAAAAGCUUAAAUUUAAUUAAAAGACGAGAAGACCCUAUAGAGUUUUAUUAAAAAAAUGAAAAGUUAUUUUAGUUUUGAAAAAGCGUUUUAUUUAUUUAAUUUAAUUGGGGUGAUUGAAAAAUUAAAUUAACUUUUUUUUAUUAAAAUCAAUAAUUAUUGAUUAAUUGAUCCAAAAUUUUUGAUUAUAAGAUUAAAUUACCUUAGGGAUAACAGCGUAAUUUUUUUUGAGAGUUCUUAUUGAAAAAAAAGGUUGCGACCUCGAUGUUGGAUUAAAAUAAAUAUUUGGUGCAGAAGCUAAAUUAAUUAAGUCUGUUCGACUUUUAAAAUUUUACA